UCGACGAACUCUGGUAUUGAUUGGUGCUUGCAUCAUGAUUUACAUUUGAGUGAGUGGCGAACUGGUGAGUAACACGUGGGAAACCUGCCCAGAAGCGGGGGAUAACACCUGGAAACAGAUGCUAAUACCGCAUAACAACUUGGACCGCAUGGUCCGAGUUUGAAAGAUGGCUUCGGCUAUCACUUUUGGAUGGUCCCGCGGCGUAUUAGCUAGAUGGUGGGGUAACGGCUCACCAUGGCAAUGAUACGUAGCCGACCUGAGAGGGUAAUCGGCCACAUUGGGACUGAGACACGGCCCAAACUCCUACGGGAGGCAGCAGUAGGGAAUCUUCCACAAUGGACGAAAGUCUGAUGGAGCAACGCCGCGUGAGUGAAGAAGGGUUUCGGCUCGUAAAACUCUGUUGUUAAAGAAGAACAUAUCUGAGAGUAACUGUUCAGGUAUUGACGGUAUUUAACCAGAAAGCCACGGCUAACUACGUGCCAGCAGCCGCGGUAAUACGUAGGUGGCAAGCGUUGUCCGGAUUUAUUGGGCGUAAAGCGAGCGCAGGCGGUUUUUUAAGUCUGAUGUGAAAGCCUUCGGCUCAACCGAAGAAGUGCAUCGGAAACUGGGAAACUUGAGUGCAGAAGAGGACAGUGGAACUCCAUGUGUAGCGGUGAAAUGCGUAGAUAUAUGGAAGAACACCAGUGGCGAAGGCGGCUGUCUGGUCUGUAACUGACGCUGAGGCUCGAAAGUAUGGGUAGCAAACAGGAUUAGAUACCCUGGUAGUCCAUACCGUAAACGAUGAAUGCUAAGUGUUGGAGGGUUUCCGCCCUUCAGUGCUGCAGCUAACGCAUUAAGCAUUCCGCCUGGGGAGUACGGCCGCAAGGCUGAAACUCAAAGGAAUUGACGGGGGCCCGCACAAGCGGUGGAGCAUGUGGUUUAAUUCGAAGCUACGCGAAGAACCUUACCAGGUCUUGACAUACUAUGCAAAUCUAAGAGAUUAGACGUUCCCUUCGGGGACAUGGAUACAGGUGGUGCAUGGUUGUCGUCAGCUCGUGUCGUGAGAUGUUGGGUUAAGUCCCGCAACGAGCGCAACCCUUAUUAUCAGUUGCCAGCAUUAAGUUGGGCACUCUGGUGAGACUGCCGGUGACAAACCGGAGGAAGGUGGGGAUGACGUCAAAUCAUCAUGCCCCUUAUGACCUGGGCUACACACGUGCUACAAUGGAUGGUACAACGAGUUGCGAACUCGCGAGAGUAAGCUAAUCUCUUAAAGCCAUUCUCAGUUCGGAUUGUAGGCUGCAACUCGCCUACAUGAAGUCGGAAUCGCUAGUAAUCGCGGAUCAGCAUGCCGCGGUGAAUACGUUCCCGGGCCUUGUACACACCGCCCGUCACACCAUGAGAGUUUGUAACACCCAAAGUCGGUGG
rnacentral:rRNA from 2 species